GGGUGAAGUCUGGAUUCUCCCGCAGACAUGGUAGAUUGCUCCAGAGUCAUCCAAGCAUUUGAGAAAUAGUAGUGCAUGUAACCUCCCUCUGCCUCUAGGCCAUAUCUAUUCUGGGCAAGCUCCAAGAUAGCUCUAGCCGCUCUCAAAAAGUCCAAGCCAUCCAAAAGCAGAAAUGCCAAGUGGGCAUCCUUCAUUAUAAAGUUUCCUGCAUUAGUGUAAAGGUAUUCCUGUGUCAACCACCAUCUUCAUCUCUCAUCACCACCGGGAUCAAUAGGAUAAUGCAUAUAAGCCAGCCAGAUGUUUAGAGGCAGCCCACCACCCUGGGGUUGAUGUUAUUGGGAAUGUGGCUCACCAUCCUCUGAAACAUCAGGUUUCCACUUCAAGCAGAGGACCCAAUAGUCAUAAGCAAAAUCUCUCAGGCGUUGUUUUGGCUGCUGCACCAACAACCUCAAUUUGUCCUAACCCCAGGGAGGUAAUUCUUUGGUAAAAAAGCAGCCAUGAAUGCCAUGAAAGACCUCUUUUCAGCCUUCCACCAGCUCAGAGCAGGACCCACAAGCUUGGCCCUGGGCAGUGGUCUGAUUUCCAGGUAGUUUUCACACUGUUCGAUGAAUGUGAGCACAUCCACCAUCUCACACACAUCUCCAAAGGAGGAAAACUCCAAUCGGAUGGGAGACUUCGCACAGAAGCCAGGGAGCUAGGGGCAGUAAGAGAAGAAAAGGAAGUAGUUGGAGUGUAUGCUUGAAGGUGGGGCAGAGAAAGGGUAAUUGUGUAUUGCAGCUUUUUCAUCUGACUCCACAAUUUUGCUUUUCUCCUCAGGAAAAUAUCUGCAACAGCCUUCUCCAGCUUCUCCAGACUUUUCUGGAAGUAUUCUCCUAACUCUGCCAAGCUAGCAUCCACUGCCUGCUGGACACUGGCCUUCCGAUUUAAGUGAUGUGAAGGUCUCUACAGUCUCUUCAGUGGUUUGAUGACACGACUGACACUAUGAGCACCUACAAUAAUGAGGCUUGCCUUAGCAAACACCACUAAUUACUGUGUGCACUAGCUAAAGGCCAAAUCACACCACAGCAAAAUGACAGAUUUCAUACGAGCAAUCAUUUGUGGAUGGCGUAUAUUCUUCCUUUUAAACAUUAUGUGGGCUGACAAUAAUCUGUAAUAUGAGGUUUACGAUGACAACUCACAAUAGGUGGAGAUAAUUAAACCGUCAUGGUUUAAAACCAUUACCUUUAUCUGCAACAAGGCUAAAAAAACAGAAGGAAAAUCCAAACAUUGGGACGAUCCUAUCUCUCGCUCCCAUGCGAGGUUUGACGAUAAGGGCUGGUGAUGUGGCCCCUAAAGGGCCCGAGAGGAGAUUACAGUGCUGUUGGACAGUGCCAGGAUCAGUCGUGCUCCAUCUGGAGCCGUGAGAACAGAUAAAACAGCCAACAUAUCCAACGCUUUCUCCCAGCCACAACACCGUGGAUCAACAGCUACGAGCAAUCCUCGCUUGAUUUCUACAGCACACAAGUUUGAUCCCUGCGCAAACAAUGUGUAAAAAACUCCUCGUGCACCUGUAACAACAGCUCUCCGGAUAAAGAAACCCUGCAGGACAGUGCUCCUGGUGAGAGAGCCGAAUUUAACACUUAAAGUACACGGAUAGUUUGGUCAUGAAACUUUCUUUAGCAUUUAUUUAAAAAAAAAAUGUAAUAAAUUAAAAAAAAAAAUAGAUACAUUA
ensembl:lncRNA